rnacentral:antisense_RNA from 1 species
UUUGGCAUUCGGCUUCCGAUCUGCAAUCGCAUUGCCCACCGCAUGCAGCAAGUGCGUUUUACCCAAACCGGUGCCGCCGUA